UACGGAGGAUGCGAGCGUUAUCCGGAUUUAUUGGGUUUAAAGGGUGCGUAGGCGGAGCAUCAAGUCAGCGGUGAAAGUUCUUGGCUCAACCAUGAAAUUGCCGUUGAAACUGUUGUUCUUGAGUGUAGAUGAGGUAGGCGGAAUUCGUAGUGUAGCGGUGAAAUGCUUAGAUAUUACGAAGAACUCCAAUUGCGUAGGCAGCUUACUAGGCUACAACUGACGCUGAGGCACGAAGGUGUGGGUAUCAAACAGG
rnacentral:rRNA from 1 species